rnacentral:rRNA from 1 species
UACGUAGGGCGCAAGCGUUGUCCGGAUUUAUUGGGCGUAAAGAGCUCGUAGGCGGUUUGUCGCGUCUUCCGUGAAAACUGGGGGCUUAACUUCCAGCUUGCGGUGGAUACGGGCUGACUGGAGUGCGGCAGGGGAGACUGGAAUUCCUGGUGUAGCGGUGAAAUGCGCAGAUAUCAGGACGAACACCGGUGGCGAAGGCGGGUCUCUGGGCCGUUACUGACGCUGAGGAGCGAAAGCGUGGGGAGCGAACAGG